rnacentral:rRNA from 1 species
UACGAAGGGGGCUAGCGUUGUUCGGAAUUACUGGGCGUAAAGCGCGCGUAGGCGGUUUUGCAAGUCGGAUGUGAAAUCCCCAGGCUUAACCUGGGAACUGCAUUCGAGACUGCAUUGCUAGAGUAUGGGAGAGGGAAGUGGAAUUUCCGGUGUAGCGGUGAAAUGCGUAGAUAUCGGAAGGAACAUCAGUGGCGAAAGCGACUUCCUGGACCAAUACUGACGCUCAUGUGCGAAAGCGUGGGGAGCAAACAGGAUUGAGAA